rnacentral:misc_RNA from 1 species
GGAUAAGCCCCCAGGCCAGCUUCGCUUCUCCACUUAUCUCCCCAACGAUGGCGGCAACAGUAACAGCAUCAACUCUCUCCUCUGCCGCCUCUCUUUCUAUCCGCAUCAAGCCUCGCCUCUCUACUCCAAAACCCAUUAAGUCCUUUCUCUACUCCAAAUCACCCCAAUUUCUCUCCCUUUCUUCCCAUCCCACCACAAUUACCAGAGCCCAAUCCAGCGACAUUGACACUUCCUUCUUCGACAACGUCAAUCCCGAAGGCGAUAUCGUUUUUGACCCGCCAAGCCCCCCAGAAGACUUCGUUCCUCCGCCCUCCUUUGACGAGGGUCCCAUCGAAACCGAGGAAGAAAUCGCCGCUGCUUACGAAGAGCUAUAUGGAGCCGCUUUUAGUGGAGAGAGCGUUUUGGGCAAUGAUGUGUAUGUAAUGGACUCGAAGGUUAAAAAGACAACUGGGUUCGGUUCGAAAGGGAAGAAGGAGAAAAUACGAGAUGGGUUUGAGGAGAGAGUAGUGCAGGUGAGAAGAGUGACUAAGGUGGUUAAGGGAGGGAAACAGCUACAUUUUAGAGCAAUUGUGGUGGUAGGGAAUAAGCAAGGCCAGGUUGGUGUUGGGGUUGGGAAAGCCAAGGAAGUAAUUGCUGCUGUGCUGAAAUCGGCCGUUAAUGCGAGGAGGAACAUCGUUACGGUGCCCAUGACCAAGUACUCGACUUUUCCUCACAGAUCUGAAGGAGAUUAUGGGGCAGCAAAGGUGAUGCUUAGACCAGCCUCACCUGGUACUGGAGUGAUUGCUGGAGGUGCUGUAAGAAUUGUUCUUGAAAUGGCAGGUGUUGAGAAUGCUUUAGGAAAGCAAAUUGGGAGUAAGAAUGCCCUCAACAAUGCCAGAGCUACGGUUGUUGCUGUGCUAAAAAUGAGGCAAUUCCGUGAUGUUGCUCGUGAACGUGGGAUCCCAAUGGAAGAACUGUGGAAAUGAUGGAUAUGGAAGAUGGUUUUUGUUAAAUAAUUUUUUUUUGUCCUUGAAUGUGCAUUAGGUACAAGAAGUUUUUUUAGUUAAAGCCAAUGGAAACAAGAACAAGAUCCAGUCAUUUGUCUUUCUUGCUCAU